rnacentral:rRNA from 1 species
GACGUACGCUGGCGGCGUGCUUAACACAUGCAAGUCGAACGAAGUGGCGAACGGGUGAGUAACGCGUAAUCAACCUGCCCUUCAGAGGGGGACAACAGUUGGAAACGACUGCUAAUACCGCCUACUGAAGGAGGGGAUUGCGUCUGAUUAGCUAGUUGGGGGGGUAACGGCCCACCAGGGCGAUGAUCAGUAGCCGGGCUGAGAGGAUGAUCAGUCACACUGGAACUGAGACACGGUCCAGACUCCUACGGGAGGCAGCAGUGGGGAAUAUUGGACAAUGGGCGAAAGCCUGAUCCAGCCAUGCCGCGUGUGUGAAGAAGGUCUUCGGAUUGUAAAGCACGUUAAGUUGGGAGGCGUUACCAACAGAAUAAGCACCGGCGAACUUCGUGCCAGCAGCCGCGGUAAUUC